rnacentral:rRNA from 1 species
GUACUUGGUUGUCUAGUAUAGCAUUAUACCGUGAAACUGCGAAUGGCUCAUUAAAUCAGUUAUCGUUUAUUUGAUAGUACCUUACUACUUGGAUAACCGUGGUAAUUCUAGAGCUAAUACAUGCUAAAAACCCCAACUUCGGGAGGGGUGUAUUUAUUAGAUAAAAAACCAAUGCCCUUCGGGGCUCCUUGGUGAUUCAUGAUAACUUCUCAGAUCGCAUAGCCUUGUGCUGGCGACGGUUCAUUCAAAUUUCUGCCCUAUCAACUUUCGAUGGUAAGGUAGUGGCUUACCAUGGUUUCAACGGGUAACGGGGAAUUAGGGUUCGAUUCCGGAGAGGGAGCCUGAGAAACGGCUACCACAUCCAAGGAAGGCAGCAGGCGCGCAAAUUACCCAAUUCCGAUGCGGAGAGGUAGUGACAAUAAAUACUGAUACAGGGCUCUUUUGGGUCUUGUAAUUGGAAUGAGUACAAUUUAAACCUCUUAACGAGGAACAAUUGGAGGGCAAGUCUGGUGCCAGCAGCCGCGGUAAUUCCAGCUCCAAUAGCGUAUAUUAAAGUUGUUGCAGUUAAAAAGCUCGUAGUUGAACCUUUGGCCUGGCUGGCAGGUCCGCCUCACCGCGUGCACUUGUCCGGCCGGGCCUUUUCUUCUGGAGAACCGCAUGCCCUUCACUGGGUGUGUUGGGGACCAGGACUUUUACUUUGAAAAAAUUAGAGUGUUCAAAGCAGGCCUUUGCUCGAAUACGUUAGCAUGGAAUAAUAGAAUAGGACGUGCGGUCCUAUUUUGUUGGUUUCUAGGACCGCCGUAAUGAUUAAUAGGGACAGUCGGGGGCAUCAGUAUUCAAUUGUCAGAGGUGAAAUUCUUGGAUUUAUUGAAGACUAACUACUGCGAAAGCAUUUGCCAAGGAUGUUUUCAUUAAUCAGUGAACGAAAGUUAGGGGAUCGAAGACGAUCAGAUACCGUCCGUAGUCUUAACCAUAAACUAUGCCGACUAGGGAUCGGGCGGUGUUUCUAUUGUGACCCGCUCGGCACCUUACGAGAAAUCAAAGUGUUUGGGUUCUGGGGGGGGAGUAUGGGUCGCAAGGCUGAAACUUAAAGAAAUU